rnacentral:misc_RNA from 1 species
GAUGAAGAACGCAGCGAAAUGCGAUAAGUAAUGUGAAUUGCAGAAUUCAGUGAAUCAUCGAAUCUUUGAACGCACAUUGCGCCCCCUGGUAUUCCGGGGGGCAUGCCUGUUCGAGCGUCAUUUCACCACUCAAGCCUCGCUUGGUAUUGGGCAACGCGGUCCGCCGCGUGCCUCAAAUCGACCGGCUGGGUCUUCUGUCCCCUAAGCGUUGUGGAAACUAUUCGCUAAAGGGUGUUCGGGAGGCUACGCCGUAAAACAACCCCAUUUCUAAGGUUGACCUCGGAUCAGGUAGGGAUACCCGCUGAACUUAAGCAUAUUAAUAAGCGGAGGA